AGCCAAGCCGGGCCGGGUCGGGUCGGGGGCAGUGUUGUCCCCAUGCGGGAUGUGGCGGCGGCUGGCCGGGCUGGGGCUCGUCUUCACGGCCGCCACGGCCGCCCUCUGGCUGCUGUCGGUGCGGUUAAACGCGGGGCAGGCGCACAGGCCGCUGCGGUUCCCGUCGGACCUGGAGGAGUUGCGGGAGUUGGCUGAGGCGCUGCGGGACUACGAGCGGCAGCACCGCGGCGCGGCUCUGGCUCUCUUCUGCGCUGCCUACCUUUACAAGCAGAGCUUCGCCAUCCCCGGCUCCAGCCUGCUGAACGUCCUGGCUGGGGCACUGUUUGGGCCCUGGACCGGACUGGUGCUGUGCUCAGUCUUGACAUCGGUGGGAGCCACCCUCUGCUACCUGCUCUCCCACGCCUUUGGAAAGCAGUUCAUUGUCCACUACUUCCCCGAUAAAGUGGCUGUGCUGCAAAAGAAGGUAGAAGAGAACAGGAGCUGCUUAUUUUUCUUCCUGUUGUUCCUGAGGCUGUUCCCCAUGACACCAAACUGGUUUCUGAAUCUCUCAGCUCCCAUUCUAAACAUCCCUGUGUCCCAGUUCUUCUUCUCUGUCCUCAUCGGUCUCACCCCAUAUAAUUUCAUCUGCGUGCAGACAGGAUCCAUUCUGUCCCAAAUCACCUCCUUGGAUGCUAUUUUCUCCUGGGACACGCUGCUCAAGCUGCUUGCAAUGGCUGUGGCAGCAUUGAUCCCAGGGACCCUCAUCAAGAAGUACAGCACGAGGCAUUUGAAGCUGGAUGAAGACAAGCACAUUCAGUUAGUCAAUGGCAAAAAGAGCUUGUGAUGCCUCAGGUGCUCCAGAUGUUGGGGUCUGCCUUGCAAAAGCUGCAGGUCUCUGUUCCUGUGGGUUGUGUUCUGCAUGCUCUGUGCCACUGUGAGCCAAGGAGAAUUGCAGAUUUUAAUCCUUCUUCUCAUCUUAGAGGAGAUACUGUCUUAUCCAGUGUGCCCCAGGGGGUUGCCAGCCCACUGCAAAUGUGUUACUGAUGGAAAAGAACAACAGGAGGAAGGCAAAUCAUAGAAUUGCUCAGGCUGGAAAAGACCUUCAAGAUCAUCGAGUCCAACCUCAUCCGAGCCCUGUUACCCUAUUUCUGAUGACCGAAAUCAGAACCCCCUUAAGUCCGCCCAGCUCUUGAAGAUGGGAGGGGGUCCCAGCACCUCCCUCCCUGCAGUCUUCUUCUGAGGUCUGUCAGUGGCUGCUACUCCCCACAGAGACUGAAGUCGGGGGGGAGGGAAAGCAUGGAUGUGCCUGGCUGGCAGUGAUUUGUUCCUGAAAAGCACCUUUAAACCUCCAUGUUUGCUCUUGUGUAACUAGGUUUCCAAAGAAGCAGGUAGGCUCUGUUUCACUUGCUGAAGACCAGCAGUGCUCCCCAGAUGAUAUUGUGCUCUUGAGUUUUUGGUAUUUGCACCUCCUUGCUGUACUUGAGUUGGCCUUCUACUUGGAGGACAAACUCUUUGGCAUGGAAGGGGGGAGGUGGGAGGUGGGAGACCCCAGAGCAGCUGGGAAGGUGACAGUGAAUGCGUCAGUCAUUUAACAGCUGACUUACCAGCAAGGUUCCCAGGAUGAGAAGUUACACAUUCAGUCCCCCAGCUCACAGGCCAAAAACCACUCACUCAACAAGUGGACACCUGAUGCUCUGUGUCAGAGCUUUGUGUGUCUGACCAAGCCUCCACUCUGCCCCUUGGAGCUCCCAGGAGCUCCAGUUAAGCUGGUGUUGCCUCUCUGAACACAAGGUACCAAGGUGCUCACUGACAUUGUGUUGGUUAUUAAGGGGCUUUGUGUACAUAAGAAGUACAUAAAGUACAUAAGAAACCAUUCCAGAUAACCAGACCAGCCUGAGAAGCAUUGAAGUACACUGGCUUUUUAUUCCAUGCAUUGUUUGCUUUGAUAGUCAUUCUUGUUUCCAUCACUGUACACUGUUCAAUACAAAAAAAAAAAAAAAAAAA